UACGUAGGGUGCGAGCGUUGUCCGGAAUUAUUGGGCGUAAAGAGCUUGUAGGCGGUUUGUCGCGUCUGCUGUGAAAUCUCAAGGCACUCAAACCCCCGAACUUGCAGUGGGGUACGGGCAGACUAGAGUGUGGUAAGGGAGACUGGAAUUCCUGGUGUAGCGGUGAAAUGCGCAGAUAUCAGGAGGAACACCGAGUGGCGAAGGCAGGUCUCU
rnacentral:rRNA from 1 species